rnacentral:rRNA from 1 species
GCUCAAAUUUGAAAUCUGGCGUGCUCAGUGCGUCCGAGUUGUAAUCUAUAGAGGCGUUUUCCGUGCCGGACUGUGUCUAAGUCCCUUGGAACAGGGUAUCAAAGAGGGUGAUAAUCCCGUACUUGACACAAUGACCGGUGCUCUGUGAUACGUCUUCUACGAGUCGAGUUGUUUGGGAAUGCAGCUCAAAAUGGGUGGUGAGUUCCAUCUAAAGCUAAAUAUUGGCGAGAGACCGAUAGCGAACAAGUACCGUGAGGGAAAGAUGAAAAGCACUUUGGAAAGAGAGUUAAACAGUACGUGAAAUUGUUGAAAGGGAAACGAUUGAAGUCAGUCGUGACUGAGAGGCUCAGCCGGUUCUGCCGGUGUAUUCCCCUCAGUCGGGUCAACAUCAGUUUUGUUCGGUGGAUAAGGGCAGCUGGAAGGUGGCACCUCCGGGUGUGUUAUAGCCAGCUGUCGCAUACAUCGAAUGAGACUGAGGAAUGCAGCUCGCCUUUAUGGCCGGGGUUCGCCCACGUCCGAGCUUAGGAUGUUGACAUAAUGGCUUUAAACGACCCGUCUUGAAA